rnacentral:rRNA from 1 species
AGUGAACGCUGGCGGUAGGCCUAACACAUGCAAGUCGAACGGCAGCACAGUAAGAGCUUGCUCUUACGGGUGGCGAGUGGCGGACGGGUGAGGAAUACAUCGGAAUCUACUUUUUCGUGGGGGAUAACGUAGGGAAACUUACGCUAAUACCGCAUACGACCUACGGGUGAAAGCAGGGGAUCUUCGGACCUUGCGCGAUUGAAUGAGCCGAUGUCGGAUUAGCUAGUUGGCGGGGUAAAGGCCCACCAAGGCGACGAUCCGUAGCUGGUCUGAGAGGAUGAUCGGCCACACUGGAACUGGGACACGGUCCAGACUCCUACGGGAGGCAGCAGUGGGGAAUAUUGGACAAAGGGCGCAAGCCUGAUCCAGCCAUACCGCGUGAGUGAAGAAGGCCUUCGGGUUGUAAAGCCCUUUUGUUGGGAAAGAAAAACAGCAGGUUAAUACCCCGCUGUUCUGACGGUACCCAAAGAGUAAGCACCGGCUAACUUCGUG